rnacentral:rRNA from 1 species
UACGGAGGGUGCAAGCGUUAAUCGGAAUUACUGGGCGUAAAGCGCACGCAGGCGGUUUGUUAAGUUAGAUGUGAAAUCCCCGGGCUCAACCUGGGAACUGCAUUUAAGACUGGCAGGCUAGAGUCUUGUAGAGGGGGGUAGAAUUCCAUGUAUAGCGGUGAAAUGCGUAGAGAUGUGGAGGAAUACCGGUGGCGAAGGCGGCCCCCUGGACAAAGACUGACGCUCAGGUGCGAAAGCGUGGGGAGCAAACAGG